GUUCAUAACGUUCCACAAUCUCCAUACAUAAGUCACAUUCUCUAUAAUAAAUAAAACACAAAUUUGUCGCACGAGGAUUGGGAAGGCAACUGAAGCUGCUUACACAGGAGCGUAGUUUGCAAGCUCUGAGUGAAUUAAUCAAGCCAAGAUUUGUGCUUUGCAAGAACGCGAAUUUGGGUGUGUAUUGCGAAGCAAGAUUUGAUGAUUUGAUGCUUUGAAGAGUACCUUUGAUUCGUCUUCAAAGUGUUGUUGAAGAACUCUUAUGGGGCGUUUUGGUUUAAUCCAACAGAGCUUCGUUCUUUAUAAGCUUCAAGUGUAGAUGAAGGAGGCUUGAGAACUCUUUGAGAGAGAGGGCUUCCUUGCUUGAAGAGAGAGAGAGAGAGAGCUUCCUUGCUUGAAGAGUUUGUCUUGAAGAAAAUUUAUAUCUCCCGAAAUCCUUUUCUUUUAGGUUGAGGCCCUCUCAGGUCUUUUUUCAAUGCCACAUGGCAUAAUUUUAUUGGUUGAUAUUUAUUGACAUAAUCUUGUAUUUAUGAAAAGAUAUAUGAUGGGAUCUUGAAUUUAUGACAAGAUAUCUUGAAUAUCUUAUCUCAAGUGUCAACUUUUCAUUGGCCAAGAAAUAUAUGAAGGCUCAUUUAUUUUCCAUGUCA